rnacentral:snRNA from 1 species
CUACUUACCCUGCAGGCGGGGAGACACCAUGAUCACAAAGGUGGUUUCCCCAGGGUGAGGGUUAUCCUUUGCAUGGUGGAUGUGCUGACCCUUGUGAUUUCCCCAAAUGUGGGAAACUUGACUGCAUAAUUUGUGGGGAACUAUGUACACACUCUCAAAAC